GAAAUACUGGAUGUGCAUGUAUACACCCAAGAACUUGCCAGUCAAGAUGAAAAACUUCUUCUAAUGGAAUCCAGCUUGAAAGCAACUCAAGAGCAGCUAAGUGAGCAAAUAGCAGAAACAGUUCGCCAAGAACAGAACAGUAGAAAAUCACAGACGGAGAGCUGAAGACCCUGAGAAAACAUACUCUAACUUCUGAAGAAGAAAGUAGUGAUUACAAAGACAUGGUGGUGUGCACCAUAUGGAGCUACAACUGAGGCAGAAGCUCUCCCACCCAUAGCAAAAGGUUCACUUUGUUUACCAUUGUCAAACUUAUGACUGAAUAAUUCCUAUUUUGUAUAAAAGAAUCAGGAAAAGUGUGGAGGACUUAAAGGUAAGAAUAACAACAUCAAAUAAAGAGGAUAAGUAGCAACUUUCUCAAGACCUCAGUGUCUACUAGUCCUGGCAUAAGUAGAGAUAAUCUCAAUCAGGUGAAGAACUAGAAAAUUUGAAG